rnacentral:rRNA from 2 species
UGGUAAUGCCGGAUGCUCCAGUUGAUCGCAUGGUCUUCUGGGAAAGCUUUCGCGGUAUGGGAUGGGGUCGCGUCCUAUCAGCUUGACGGCGGGGUAACGGCCCACCGUGGCUUCGACGGGUAGCCGGCCUGAGAGGGCGACCGGCCACAUUGGGACUGAGAUACGGCCCAGACUCCUACGGGAGGCAGCAGUGGGGAAUAUUGCACAAUGGGCGCAAGCCUGAUGCAGCGACGCCGCGUGAGGGAUGGAGGCCUUCGGGUUGUAAACCUCUUUUAUCGGGGAGCAAGCGAGAGUGAGUUUACCCGUUGAAUAAGCACCGGCUAACUACGUGCCAGCAGCCGCGGUAAUACGUAGGGUGCAAGCGUUAUCCGGAAUUAUUGGGCGUAAAGGGCUCGUAGGCGGUUCGUCGCGUCCGGUGUGAAAGUCCAUCGCUUAACGGUGGAUCCGCGCCGGGUACGGGCGGGCUUGAGUGCGGUAGGGGAGACUGGAAUUCCCGGUGUAACGGUGGAAUGUGUAGAUAUCGGAAA